rnacentral:sRNA from 1 species
CAGAAGGGACUGCCUUCCCCUCAGUGCUCGCUCCUCCUUAGUGAUCACUGAGUCCCCUUGAGCAGUGAGUCUCAUUCUUCUCAGUAAAUCUUCUCGCUGUGUAGUGAGAAAACUGAGGGCUGGAGAGGCUCUGCGACCUGCCUAGGACCACAGAACUCGAGAAUUACGUGUACCAGAGACUGUUUGAAUGCUAUGCGUUUAACGGGACACAGCGCCUCCUGGACAGACUCAUCUACAACCAGGAGGAGUACAUCCGCUUCGACAGCGACCUUGGGGAGUACAGGACGGUGACGGAGCUGGGACGGCGUACUGCUGAGUACUGGAACAGCCAGAAGGACAUCCUGGAGCUGGAGCGGGCCGAGGUGGACAGGGUGUGCAGACACAACUAUGAGCUGGAGGAGCCACUCAUCCGGAAGCGCCAAGUCCAGCCU